GUCCCGUUCCAGCGAUGAUUGCCUGAGCUCGUCUCAUGGAGAAGAAGUCCUGCAGUGUAUUCCUGCAGCCCGGUGCUCCGGUCAUGUCCUUCGUCCCGCCGGAGUGUUCCCAGCCCGUGUGCGAUUGGCUGAGUGGCCUCCGGCUCGACCAGUACUGCCCGGCCUUCCGGGAGGCGGGGCUGGGAAUGCUGUGGGAGUGUCAUGAUCUAAGCUCCGCCCAGCUGCAGCAGAUGGGCGUGGCUCUGCCCGGCCAUAGGAAGCGGAUCCUUGGCAGCCUGCGCAAGCUCCUCCCCUCGGCGGCGGGAACGGAGGAGGACGAGGAGCGAGAGGAGGACAGGCCCGUUGCCCGAGAGAGGACCAAAUUCAGAGCAUCGGAAAACAGUGUCGCAGGUAGACGCCCGCCUCCCGUCCCGCCUCGAGUCACGCCCAAUCGACCCCCCGUUCCCUUCACGCCCGGAUCGGUAACCAUGGCGACCGCUCCUGAGCCUAUCAGCCUCCCUGAACAAAAGGAAACGCCCACGCCUGCCGAACAAGCCAAGCCCAUCCCAACUCCCAGGCCACGCCCAGAACACCUGCCUCUUAAAGGGCCGGCGCAGCAACUCCAGACGAGUGAGAGGAAACCGUCUCCUGUGUCUCCCUCUUCCUCCUCCUCCUCCUCCUCCUCAUCAUCGGAGCGCUUCCACCUGUAUGAACAGUGUUCGUCUCCUGCUCAGGGAGAAGCGGGCGCUCCUCCUCUUCCUCCUAAGAGCUACGCCGUGGGCAUCUCUAAAGAGCCCAGAGACGGCCCGUACAGACCCCCUGUUCCACCACCUCGUGUCUCCAUCUGCUCCAGAACUACGAAUCCCAGAAGCACGUCAUCCGGAAGCCCGCCCACGUCUAGCGCUCCUGUAGAUGAUCCGUCAGACACGGAUCGAGUCCCAGACGUCCCGCCUCGGAUCAUCAGACCAGAGAGCCAAAGGAGAGACGUCCCAGCGCCGCCGAACACAAACAAGUUGGAUUCAGAUGAAAGUUCAGAUGAAUAUGACGAGCGCAAGCUCAGCAGAGACGCUAAACUCAUAGACAUGGCCAGCAAGAUGUCCUUGAUGGUUCCCAAGGCGACGAAACCCCGUUACAGCAGCCUGUGCAGCGACGACGAGCUACUAGACGAUGACGCCAUCUCUUACGAAUCUGUGUCCCUGAAACGGAGUUCAUGGAUCGAAGAUUUGGGUUCGAUCUCCGGCUCUCAGAGCAGCAUCUACCUGCCAAUCACAGGCCACGUCAGUGCUCCGCCCCCUCGGGAAGACCCCGCCUCCACCAGCGUCCCCGUGAUUAAAGUGGGCUGGCUGGACAAGAAUCCUCCUCAGGGGUGCGUGUGUGUUUU
rnacentral:lncRNA from 1 species